GCCAGACUCCUACGGGAGGCAGCAGUGAGGAAUAUUGGUCAAUGGGCUUACGCCUGAACCAGCCAAGUCGCGUGAGGGAAGACUGCCCUAUGGGUUGUAAACCUCUUUUGUCAGGGAGCAAUUGGCGCUACGUGUAGUGUUAUCGAGAGUACCUGAAGAAAAAGCAUCGGCUAACUCCGUGCCAGCAGCCGCGGUAAUACGGAGGAUGCGAGCGUUAUCCGGAUUUAUUGGGUUUAAAGGGUGCGUAGGCGGAAUGCCAAGUCAGCGGUAAAAUCGCGGGGCUCAACCUCGCUCCGCCGUUGAAACUGGCGUUCUUGAGUGGGCGAGAAGUAUGCGGAAUGCGUGGUGUAGCGGUGAAAUGCAUAGAUAUCACGCAGAACUCCGAUUGCGAAGGCAGCAUACCGGCGCCCAACUGACGCUGAAGCACGAAAGCGUGGGUAUCGAACAGGAUUAGAUACCCUUGUAC
rnacentral:rRNA from 1 species